UGAUCCGGCUUCGGCUGGGUCAGGGGAGUGGCAAACGGGUGAGUAACACGUGGGUUACCUACCCUCCGGUGGGGAAUAACCCUGGGAAACCGGGGCUAAUACCGCAUAAGCCCGCAAGGGGAAAGCCGAAAGGCGCCGGAGGAUGGGCCCGCGGCGGAUUAGCUAGUUGGUGGGGUAAUGGCCCACCAAGGCGAUGAUCCGUAGCCGGCCUGAGAGGGUGACCGGCCACACUGGCACUGAGGCACGGGCCAGACUCCUACGGGAGGCAGCAGUGGGGAAUCUUGGACAAUGGGCGAAAGCCUGAUCCAGCGACGCCGCGUGAGGGAUGAAGCCCUUCGGGGUGUAAACCUCUUUCAGCGGGGAAGAAUCUGACGGUACCCGCAGAAGAAGCUGCGGCUAACUACGUGCCAGCAGCCGCGGUAAUACGUAGGCAGCGAGCGUUGCUCGGAAUUACUGGGCGUAAAGCGUGCGUAGGCGGUCCUGCAAGUCU
rnacentral:rRNA from 1 species